rnacentral:sRNA from 1 species
CAGAGUGUCUUGGGAGCAAGGAUGGGAUGGCCUCGAAUGGCUCCUCACCACUGCUCUUGCUCCCCGCCUCUCUCCUGCCCCUGCAGCGAGGGGAGGGUUGGGGGUGGCAGCUCUGCCUCUGAGGGCUCUUGGGGAUGGAGGCUGUGCUCUGAGAGUUGGUUGUUACUCGCCUGCAAAAGGCAAGUUGCUUGCAAAUGGGCUAAGGUCUGAAAUCCUACCUAGGGGGCUUCUAGCUUAACCUCAAGUCCUCCCUCCUUGGCCAUGUCUCUGUGAGAACUGGUCUCCACUGAGGAGCCCGUCUUCCCUCCCUGGGUGUGUCCAUCAGCUCUGCCCAAACCAGGCUGGGAGGGCAGCUCCCCCAGGUUAUAGAAGGCCUUUGGGCUUUCCUGAAUCCAGGGGAGGGAGUGAGCCCUUCCAUACCACCUCACCCCCAACUCCAUGCAAAGAACUGGAUUCCAGAAGCCACAGAAGCUGGAGGAGCCACACCGCCAUGCCCUCUGUCCCCCCACAGUGUCCGGAGCCAGCAGUAACCCCUGCUCGGAGACUUACCAUGGCAAGUUUGCCAAUUCCGAAGUGGAGGUCAAGUCCAUUGUAGACUUUGUGAAGGACCAUGGGAACAUCAAGGCCUUCAUCUCCAUCCACAGCUACUCCCAGCUCCUCAUGUAUCCCUAUGGCUACAAAACAGAACCAGUCCCUGACCAGGAUGAGCUGGAUCAGCUUUCCAAGGCUGCUGUGACAGCCCUGGCCUCUCUCUACGGGACCAAGUUCAAUUAUGGCAGCAUCAUCAAGGCAAUUUGUAAGUGGCUGUAGGGUCUCUCUUGAUGGGCCUGCGAGGAACAUCUGCUGGCUCUU